AGUUUGAUUAUGGCUCAGAUUGAACGCUGGCGGGAUGCUUUACACAUGCAAGUCGAACGGCAGCACGGACUUCGGUCUGGUGGCGAGUGGCGAACGGGUGAGUAAUGUAUCGGGAACGUGCUCUAGUAGCGGGGAUAACUACGCGAAAGCGUAGCUAAUACUGCAUACGCCCUUCGGGGGAAAGCGGGGGACCUUCGCCUCGCACUAUUAGAGCGGCCGAUAUCGGAUUAGCUAGCUGGUGGGGUAACGGCUCACCAAGGCGACGAUCCGUAGCUGGUUUGAGAGGACGACCAGCCACACUGGGACUGAGACACGGCCCAGACUCCUACGGAGGCAGCAGUGGGGAAUUUUGGACAAUGGGGAAACCCUGAUCCAGCCAUCCUGCGUGUGCGAUGAAGGCCUUCGGGUUGUAAAGCACUUUUGGCAGGAAAAGAAACGGCACGGGAUAAUACCCCGUGCAACUGACGGUACCCGCAGAAUAAGCACCGGCUAACUACGUGCCAGCAGCCGCGGUAAUACGUAGGGUGCAAGCGUUAAUCGGAAUUACUGGGCGUAAAGCGUGCGCAGGCGGUUCGAAAGAAAGAUGUGGAAUCCCAGAGCUUAACUUUGGAACUGCAUUUUUAACUACCGAGCUAGAGUGUGUCAGAGGGAGGUGGGAAUUCCGCGUGUAGCAGUGAAAUGCGUAGAUAUGUGAGGAACACCGAUGGCGAAGGCAGCCCCUGGGAUAACACUGACGCUCAUGCACGAAAGCGUGGGGAGCAAACAGGAUUAGAUACCCUGGUAGUCCACGCCCUAAACGAUGUCAACUAGGCCGUUGGGGCCUCGGGCCUGGUAGCGCAGCUAACGCGUGAAGUUGACCGCCUGGGAGUACGGUCGCAAGAUUAAACUCAAAGGAAUUGACGGGACUCCGCACAAGCGGUGGAUGAUGUAUGUGGAUUAAUUCGAUGCAACGCGAAAACCUUACCUACCCUUGACAUGUCUGGAAUCCCGAAGAUUUGGGAGUGCUCGCAAGAGAACCGGAACACAGGUGCUGCAUGGCUGUCGUCAGCUCGUGUCGUGAGAUGUUGGGUUAAGUCCCGCAACGAGCGCAACCCUUGUCAUUAGUUGCUACGAAAGGGCACUCUAUCGAGACUGCCGGUGACAAACCGGAGGAAGGUGGGGACGACGUCAAGUCCCUUCAUGGCCCUUAUGGGUAGGGCUUCACACGUCAUACAAUGGUCGACAGAGGGUCGCCAACCCGCGAGGGGGAGCCAAUCCCAGAAACCUGAUCGUAGUCCGAAAUCGCAGUCUGCAACUCGACUGCGUGAAGUCGGAAUCGCUAGUAAUCGCGGAUCAGCAUGUCGCGGUGAAUACGUUCCCGGGUCUUGUACACACCGCCCGUCACACCAUGGGAGUGGGUUUGCACGAAGUAGUUAGCCUAACCGUAAGGAGGGCGACGCCACGUAGGAUUCAUGACUGGGGUGAAGUCGUAAAUAUGGGUAA
rnacentral:rRNA from 1 species